rnacentral:rRNA from 1 species
GACGUAGGGCGCGAGCGUUGUCCGGAUUUAUUGGGCGUAAAGAGCUCGUAGGCGGCUUGUCGCGUCGUCCGUGAAAACUUGGGGCUCAGCCCCAAGCUUGCGGUCGAUACGGGCAGGGCUAGAGUUCGGUAGGGGAGACUGGAAUUCCUGGUGUAGCGGUGAAAUGCGCAGAUAUCAGGAGGAACACCGAUGGCGAAGGCACUUUACUGGGCUAUUACUAACACUCAGAGACGAAAAGCUAGGGUAGCAAAUGGG